ensembl:lncRNA LINC02692 long intergenic non-protein coding RNA 2692
ACAGACACACUCCGUCCCACCCACCACCAGCGCUCUGGAGCCUGCCCCGGGCCAGGGAACAGCUUGGCCUGAUCCUGCUGACGCCUCAGGGCAGGACAGGGCAGGGAGGCUCCAGGCGGCCACCCAUGCUGGGCACACAGUGGACUCUCGCACGGUGUCUUCUGCCGUCACACCCUGACCCAGGGCUGGCCGGGAGCCUUCGGGGCGACAGCUCCGAGGAUGGACGUAGGGGCCAGCUGCUGCCCCAGAGUCCUGCCCCCUGCAGCCCUGUGUGGAGCCCUGGGACUCCUGUGGGUGGGCCUCACCCUGCUGGGGACGGUCCAGCCACAGCGCCAGGGCCCCCAGAGGGGCCUGAACUUGCCUUUCCACAAGAUCUGUCUCCAGCCUGGCCUCAGAAAGGAGCGGGGACCCACCCUGCAAACGCUGGGCCAGGACCCCUGUCCCGGAGAAGCAGCCAGCUCAGAACCCCCUUGGAGGCCGGGAGGAAGUGGGGUUGGAAAAUGACGAGAUGGAGGCUACGCCGAGACCAAGCGCCAGGAGAAGGGACCCAGGCCAAGCUGCUCGGUGAGGCCCUGAGCACGGCGGGAAGGGGCCAUGCAGGACCCCCUGAGGGCUGGGCUGGGGAGGGAGGGGUCUCCCCAGGGCUCACCCCCCUUCUUGGCACAGGGCAGGGGAAGGAGCUGGAUUUAGACCUGAGGGAGAAAUUUAUCAGAUUUGACCAGAUCCUGGGCAUCAGCCUUGACCACAUUCCCUUCCUGCCCCAGACUGGCCCCGGCAGGCCUUGGGGGUGUGGGGUAGGCAAGCAGAGACCACACUGAUGCGGGGAGGUUGGCCCAGAGCCCUGCAGGCCAAAGCCUGGGGCCGGGCAGCAGUGUCCGCCGAGGAGAGGGUGUCUGGUGCCUGAAUGACACAACCUGAGAGGCACCAGCCCCAAUCCUGUCCGUGCAGCCCAGCGGGGAGGACUGCCCAGGAGACCAU